rnacentral:sRNA from 1 species
AUGGGCACUUGGAAAAUUUUCCUGAAUGAAACACCAAUGGUUUACUGCUGUUCCACUCAAAGCCGUGAACCCAAGUCCACUUCUAAGAAGACCGUGGACUGCCUCCUCUACACUCAACUAUUUCUGCUUACCACCCUCAUAUUAGUUCUGAACCUGAGUCAUUACCCUGUGAUAGGUCAGAUUGUGGGUACAUGGAGGAAUCUAGUAUAGAGGAGGAAGGUGCCCCAGAAGCACUGAACUUUGCUGUCAGCCAGUACAAUGAAAACAGCAGUGACAUGUACCUGAGCCAUAUGGUGGAAGUGAAAACGGUCCCAAAAAAAGAAGGGGUGGUGGCUGAGAGGAUCUUGUUAUUUGAUGUGAUCCUAGGAAAAACUACAUGUAUGAAGACACAGGCCUGACUUGAGCAACUGUCUCUUAAAUGAAGAGACUGAUCAGAAAGAGCAUCAGUCUGGAUUGUUUGGAGAUUUCCAAUACACCUCUUUGGCCAACAGCACAACUAAAUACUACCCAGUCCCACUACUGAAAGCCUUGCCUGGUUAA